rnacentral:rRNA from 1 species
UACGUAGGGGGCAAGCGUUGUCCGGAUUUAUUGGGCGUAAAGAGCGUGUAGGCGGCCAGGCAGGUCCGCUGUGAAAACUCGAGGCUCAACCUCGAGAGGUCGGUGGAAACCGUUUGGCUAGAGUCCGGAAGAGGAGAGUGGAAUUCCCGGUGUAGCGGUGAAAUGCGCAGAUAUCGGGAAGAACACCCGUGGCGAAGGCGGCUCUCUGGGCCGUAACUGACGCUGAGGAGCGAAAGCGUGGGGAGCGAACAGG